ACGUCCUACUACGGUGGUGCCGUACGGCCGAGGACGUUUUUGCCUUUGCAUCGAAGGUUACCUCGUUGAGAUUAUCACUCGACGGUCGUUCUCUCAACACUGUUGUAUUGUAGUCACCAAAUCGCUGUCUACUACUCUCUGUAGCCCCUACUUUUUCGUCCCCGUAAUCUGCACCCGUUUGGCGUUCACCCCGCGGCUCACGCUCGCACCUUACACGUGUAUAUAUUGCUAUAGUAAUAUAAUAUAAUAUUAUAAUUGUUAUAUUUUUUCGCUCGACGUAUCGGUUGCCGUCGUGUUUCCCGCUAACGGGCACAACUAACUCGAUAGCCGGCGACGGCAUUCUCACGUCGACGGUUUUCUAAUUUCGUCUCCUCAGCCGUUCCCCAGUUCCCCACCCCGUCCUACGCGCGUUCGUGAGACUUACGUCGAAUCGUCAGGAUUCGGAGAGCGCGCGCGCGUCAACGUCGUCGUCGAAUUUUGUGCGAGUUUUGCGGCGCGCGCACACACUGCUGUGUGUGUGUGUGUGUGUGUGUCUUUUCGCUACAACUGGCGGGCAGGCACGAUAGUGUGCGUGUGCAAGUGUGAGAGCGCGUGUCCGUGUGUUCUAUAGUGACGGUGGUGUGCGAGUGCGUGCGUGUGUAGACGACCCGAAGGAACCAACCGGCGGCCCCAGUCGACGGGAUCACACGAACGUCUGUCGCCUGCUCACAAGUGCACACACAACUUCGUGACAGUUUCGUGCUGUGGAAUUGGGUCGGUCGGCGGAAAUAUACGUUGGUAAUCGAACUGCGCCGUUAACGAUAUUGUAAUAUAGACAAGUACACACUCAGUCCAUCGGAGGAACGAUCCAAUCAAAUUGUCCGUUAAAUGGCUUUUCUGAAAAUAUCCACAUCCCGUAAGUGCAGUCAAUUACUAUUGCAAGAGCCGCUCAGAAACGACGUUUACGCUCGACUGGUUCGGUCGCUGACUACCAACGCCAAUGGAUCCGCAGAACAGCACCAACAGCGCAGGAACAGCAGCGUGGUGUCCGGCCCGACGGCUGGCGUUGUCGACGCGAAGCCCAAAUGGGAUCAACUGGACACGUCGUUCGCCAACCCGGAGGCCACAUUUAAGAGCAAGACCACCUGGGAAAUAUUUAGAGCUUACAUAGUGUACCAACUAUGCUCGUCCAGUUACCUUGUCGAGAACAACAUGCAGCUCAUGAAACUUUGCAAAGCUGUUUUUGGUGAAAAAUUAUUUACCCUAAUGAUGAAAAUGACAUUUUAUGGUCAUUUUGUUGCGGGAGAAGAUCAGUAUCGUAUUGUUCCUACAUUGAAACGCUUAAGAUCUUUUGGUGUUAAACCAAUAUUGGACUAUUCUGUUGAAGAAGAUAUUAGUCAAGAAGAGGCAGAAAAACGUGAAGUUGAAUCAAGCAUGUCGGAAAUCGAAAAAAGAGACCAAGAUGCUGCUCAAAAAGAAGGUUCUGUUACAGCGGAAACAGUUGGAGGUUCUUUACCACAGUACCACGUGGAUAAACAAUUCGCAGACAGAAGGUACAAGGUGCAGAGUGCUCGAACCUAUUUCUACCUUAAUGAAGCUACUUGUGAACGUAACAUGGAAGUAUUCCAAAAUUGUCUACAUGCAGUAGCCGGUGCUACCUAUGGAACAGGAAUUACAGCAAUCAAAUUAACAGCUCUUGGACGUCCUCAACUUUUGUUGCAAUUGUCAGAAGUAAUUAUGAGAGCUCGUACAUUAGCUAGUGAAAUUAUGGGUGGCAAAGGUAAUGUAAUUGGACAGCAUCUUACUCUCGAGGAAUUAGAUAAGCGUUUGUUUGAAGCUGGAAUCAAGGAUACAAAAAAGUUUUUGGAAAAAGUCACCAAGGACAGUCAAGGUGUUAUUCAUUUAUUCCCAUGGAGUGGUCUGUUAGAUGAAAAUUCUGAACUAAGUGAUUCGUUCCGUGUCCCUUGCUUGAAAGAAGGUCGUAUGGUCAGACUGUUAUCUCAAUUAUCUAAAAAAGAAGAGGAAAUGUUCCGUAAUAUGGUUCAUCGACUUAACACAUUAGUCCAAACCGCUAAAGACCUAGAUGUCCGUAUAAUGAUUGAUGCUGAACAAACAUAUUUUCAACCAGCUAUAUCUAGAUUAACUCUAGAAUUGAUGCAAAAGUAUAAUACAGAAAAAGCUAUUGUAUUUAACACAUACCAAUGUUACCUAAAAGAAACACUUAAUGAAGUCAAGACUGAUUUAAAUCAAGCUAAGAGACAAAAAUUCUAUUUUGGAGCCAAACUUGUGAGGGGUGCUUAUAUUGAUCAGGAGAGGGCAAGAGCUGCAGCAUUGGGCUAUGCUGAUCCAACCAAUCCAUCUUAUGAAGCCACCACAGAAACUUAUCAUCAAACACUGACUGAAUGUUUAACACGCAUUAAGCAACUGAAAGAUCAAGGUGAUGUUUGCAGCAAGAUUGGUAUAAUGGUUGCAUCACAUAACGAAGAUACUGUACGUUUCGCAUUAUCACAAGACACAUAGAAUAGUGUCUAAAAAAGCAUUUCCAACGCCAUCCAAUACAAGGGAAUAGCGAUUACUGGAAUAAAAUGCAGAAAUGGAUAUUACACAAAACAAUAAAACAAAACAAAACAACAGUACUCAUCAUUUAUGAAAACCACCACCAACAUAAUAAUUUAAAAUUUGUUUCAUAAAACAUUUUUCGUUUUUGUUUUCCUCACUUAUCAGAAUGAAAGAAAUUGGAAUCUCUCCUGAAGACAAAGUAAUCUGCUUCGGACAGCUGCUUGGCAUGUGUGACUUCAUCACGUUCCCCUUGGGCCAAGCAGGAUAUUCAGCGUACAAGUAUAUACCAUAUGGUCCAGUCAACGAAGUGCUACC